rnacentral:rRNA from 1 species
UGAGGAAUAUUGGACAAUGGGCGAGAGCCUGAUCCAGCCAUGCCGCGUGCAGGAAGACUGCCCUAUGGGUUGUAAACUGCUUUUAUACGGGAAGAAACCCCUCUUUGCGAAGAGGCUUGACGGUACCGUAUGAAUAAGGAUCGGCUAACUCCGUGCCAGCAGCCGCGGUAAUACGGAGGAUCCGAGCGUUAUCCGGAAUCAUUGGGUUUAAAGGGUCCGUAGGCGGGAGAAUCAGUCAGUGGUGAAAGUCUGUGGCUCAACCAUAGAAUUGCCGUUGAAACUGUUUUCCUUGAGUCAUUAUGAAGUGGUUAGAACAUGUAGUGUAGCGGUGAAAUGCAUAGAUAUUACAUAGAAUACCGAUUGCGAAGGCAGAUCACUAAUAAUGCACUGACGCUGAGGGACGAAAGCGUAGGUAGCGAACAGGAUUAGAUACCCUGGUAGUCUACGCCGUAAACGAUGGUUA